UUUCCGUAGGUGAACCUGCGGAAGGAUCAUUACUGAGUGAGGGCCCUCUGGGUCCAACCUCCCACCCGUGUUUAUUGUACCUUGUUGCUUCGGUGAGCCUGCCUCACGGCCGCCGGGGGGCAUCUGGCCCCGCGCCCGCGCUCGCCGAGGUCACCCUUGAACUCUGUCUGAAGUUUGCAGUCUGAGCGAAAUCUAAAUAAGUUAAAACUUUCAACAACGGAUCUCUUGGUUCCG
rnacentral:misc_RNA from 1 species